rnacentral:rRNA from 1 species
AUUGAACGCUGGCGGCAUGCCUUACACAUGCAAGUCGAACGGCAGCACGGGGCAACCUGGUGGCGAGUGGCGAACGGGUGAGUAAUGCAUCGGAACGUACCUUUCAGUGGGGGAUAACGUAGCGAAAGUUACGCUAAUACCGCAUAUUCUGUGAGCAGGAAAGCAGGGGAUCGCAGGACCUUGCGCUGAUUGAGCGGCCGAUGUCAGAUUAGCUAGUUGGUGAGGUAAAGGCUCACCAAGGCGACGAUCUGUAGCGGGUCUGAGAGGAUGAGCCGCCACACUGGAACUGAGACACGGUCCAGACUCCUACGGGAGGCAGCAGUGGGGAAUUUUGGACAAUGGGGGCAACCCUGAUCCAGCCAUGCCGCGUGAGUGAAGAAGGCCUUCGGGUUGUAAAGCUCUUUCGGCCGGGAAGAAAUCGCACAGGCUAAUACCUUGUGUGGAUGACGGUACCGGAAUAAGAAGCACCGGCUAACUACGUGCCAGCCGCCGCAGUAAUAC